AAUAAGUACAACUAUUAAUUUCCGUAUACAACUUUAAUCGUCCAUCUUAUUUUAAAAUUUUUUAAUAAUUAGUAUUUUUAUUGAUAUUAGAUUAUAAAAUAUGAAUAGUACUUUAUGCGUGACUUAUGUUUUUCAGUUGAGCACGGAAACUCAUGUGUUGUGCUUAUUUUAGGACGGAGGGAGUAUAUUUGGUGAGAUUAUGGCCCUGUUUAGU
rnacentral:pre_miRNA from 1 species